AUUUUGUGUAGUCUUAAUUAACUAUAAAGAAGUAGAUUUAUCUUGAUAUAUAUAGAUUUAUUCUGUUGGUAUUCAUUUUUCGAUAGUUAUUUAUGUUUGUUUAACUUUGAAAAAAUGAGAGUGUUCUAAGCAGUCAUUCGUUAUGAUUUUAAAGUAUGGAAUGAUAAGUAAAGAUGUUGGCCCAUUUUGAUUUUUUUGAGGGAUUGAUAUAAUGAUUUAUACAGUGUUUUGGAGGUGUUAGUAUUUUGUCGUUAGAAGUGAAAUUCUUGGAUCGAGAGAAGACAAACAACAGCAAAAGCAUUCAUCAAGGAUCUACUAUUUGGUCAAGAACGUAAGUUGUGGGAUCAAAGACGAUCAGAUACCGUCGUAGUCUCAACUAUAAACAAUAUCAAUUAGGGAUUAGGAAAUGUAUCUAUAACAUUGUUAGAAACUUAAGAGAAAUCAAAGUGUUUGGAUUUCGGGGGGAGUAUGGUUGCAAGACUGAAACUUAAAGGAAUUGACGGAAGGGCACCACAAGAUGUGUAUUCUGUGGCUUAAUUUAAUUCAACACAGGAAAACUUAUCAGGUCUAGACAUAGGAGUUAUUGACAGAUUAAUAGCUCUUUCUUAAUUCUGUGGGUUGUGGUGCAUGGCCGUUCUUAGUUGGUGGAGCAAUUUGUCUGGUUAAUUCCGUUAACGAACGAGACUAUUUCCUGUUAAUUCGCGUGAUAUUUAGAUUAAUAUUUUUGCUUCUUUGAGAAACUAGUUUUGCCUAAAAAGCUGGAAGUUGGUAGCAAUAACAGGUCUGUGAUGCCCUUAAACGUUCUGAGCAGCGCACGGGCUACAAUAGGCGAAUUACUAUGCUUAAUAUCUUAAUUCGAAAAGAGUUGAGAAAUCAUGACACUUACCUAUAGUUGGGUUUACACAUUUCAAUUUUUAUGUAUAAACUAGGAAUAUCUAGUAAGACUAGGUCAUUAACGUUGUUUGAAUGCGUCCCUGCCUUUUGUACACACCGCCCGUCGCUCCUACCGAUCGGAUUAGUUAGUGAUUGAGUUUGAUGAAGAGUUAACUCACAGAUGGAUAAUAAUACGGUUAAAUUUGCAAACUAGAUUAUUUAGAGGAAGGAGAAGU
rnacentral:rRNA from 1 species